rnacentral:rRNA from 1 species
AAAGGGUGUGUAGGCGGGCAGUUAAGUCAGUGGUGAAAUCUCCAGGCUCAACCUGGAAACUGCCAUUGAUACUAUCUGUCUUGAAUUUUGUUGAGGUAGGCGGAAUAUGUCAUGUAGCGGUGAAAUGCAUAGAUAUGACAUAGAACACCAAUUGCGAAGGCAGCUUACUAAGCAAAUAUUGACGCUGAGGCACGAAAGCGUGGGGAUCAAACAGGAUUAGAUACCCCAGU